UACGAAGGACCCGAGCGUUAUCCGGAUUUAUUGGGUUUAAAGGGUGCGUAGGCGGAUUAGUAAGUCAGUGGUGAAAGCCCGUCGCUUAACGGUGGAAUUGCCAUUGAUACUGCUAGUCUUGAGUAUGGUUGAGGUGGGCGGAAUGUGUCAUGUAGCGGUGAAAUGCUUAGAUAUGACCCAGAACACCAAUUGCGAAGGCAGCUCGCUAAACCAUAACUGACGCUGAUGCACGAAAGCGUGGGGAGCAAACAGG
rnacentral:rRNA from 1 species